AAAAAUUCAAGUUAACUCUGAGAUAUGGAACCUUCAGCGCAGGAUUUGAAGAAAGGAUUCCAGCACGGAGCAGAAGGAACAUACAUGAGAAGAUCACUAGGCAAAUAAACUCGAUAUGCACCACUCUCUGAAUCUCGGCAGUAGCCACAAACCCCACGUGAAUGCAAGCCUGAGACAUGCGGCUGUGAGGACAUCGGCAGGACCUUCAGAACAGACCCUGGG